rnacentral:lncRNA from 1 species
UGAUGGUAAAAUAUGCAUUAUUGGAUUCUAAAUAUAUUCAUUCAUAGAGGACUCUGUUUGCUAUUAAAGCGAUUCAACAUGAAUGAUAAAUUUAGUAAGUCAGCAAAUGCGGUAAAUUCAAUGAAUUUAUCAUCAGGCAAAUUUUAUUUCUGCAAAAUUAAAUCUUGGCAAAUCGGUUCUUAUUAAACUGACCUAAAACCAACCAACAUCUGCCACACCCUUUCACAAAUGAAAGAUACCUAAUUAUAGGAUAGUGUCGUUGGCAAAAGACAAAUAAGUAUAUGUAUGAAUUGACCACAAUUUAUAAACAAUUUGUCCCAUUUCAGCACGGAGCCAUCCUGCAUUAGUUUUCACUAGUGCUUCCUUAGUGUGGCAAGCCAAACUACCGGAGUGUUAACC